rnacentral:sRNA from 1 species
UCGAAACGUCGUUUUGCAGUGGAAAUCCUUUUUUGCGUGGGCUUCGAGAACCUCAGCCUGACAAAACGUGAUGCAAAAAAGAUUGUAACGGAAAGCAGGUUCCCGG